rnacentral:rRNA from 1 species
CCUACGGGCGGCAGCAGUGGGGAAUAUUGCACAAUGGGGGAAACCCUGAUGCAGCGACGCCGCGUGAGUGAGGAAGUAUUUCGGUAUGUAAAGCUCUAUCAGCAGGGAAGAAAAAGACGGUACCUGACUAAGAAGCCCCGGCUAACUACGUGCCAGCAGCCGCGGUAAUACGUAGGGGGCAAGCGUUAUCCGGAUUUACUGGGUGUAAAGGGAGCGUAGACGGACUUGCAAGUCUGGUGUGAAAACCCGGGGCCCAACCCCGGAACUGCAUUGGAAACUGGAUAGCUAGACUGGCGGAGAGGCAAGUGGAAUUCCUGGUGUAGCGGUGAAAUGCGUAGAUAUCAGGAGGAACACCAGUGGCGAAGGUGGCUUGAUGGACGAUGACUGACGUUGAGGCUCGAAAGCGUGGGGAGCAAACAUGAUUAGAUACCCUUGU